UGAAAAUCCUUUUCAAUAUGGCGGAUCGUCUCGGAUGGAGUCUUCAAGUGGAGUAAUUUGCUGAAGUGGAAGCUAAGAAGUGUGCAUCAGGAAUCAAGAUUCAUCUGAUGCAUCAGAGAUCAUCUUUUAUCACAUUUGCUCUGUGGGAGAACCCUUUUUAUUG